UCUUGGCUAAUGUGUCUCGGCUAAUGUGUCUUGGCUAAUGUGUCUUGGCUAAGGUGUCUUGGCUAAGGUGUCAUGGCUAAGGUGUCUUGGCUAAUGUGUCUCGUCUAAUGUGUCUUGGCUAAUGUGUCUCGGCUAAUGUGUCUUGGCUAAGGUGUCUUGGCUAAGGUGUCUUGGCUAAGGUGUCUUGGCUAAUGUGUCUUGGCUAAUGUGUCUUGGCUGAGGUGUCUUGGCUAAUGUGUCUCGGCUAAGGUGUCUUGGCAAAUGUGUCUUGGCUAAUGUGUCU